UACGGAGGGCUCAAGCGUUGUUCGGAUUCAUUGGGCGUAAAGGGUGCGUAGGCGGCCAACUAAGUCAGACGUGAAAUCCCUCGGCUUAACCGGGGAACUGCGUCUGAUACUGGAUGGCUUGAGUUUGGGAGAGGGAUGCGGAAUUCCAGGUGUAGCGGUGAAAUGCGUAGAUAUCUGGAGGAACACCGGUGGCGAAGGCGGCAUCCUGGACCAACACUGACGCUGAGUGAGCGAAAGCCAGGGGAGCAAACGGG
rnacentral:rRNA from 1 species